rnacentral:rRNA from 1 species
AUACGGAGGAUCCGAGCGUUAUCCGGAUUUAUUGGGCUUAAAGGGUGCGCAGGCGGCCAUUUAAGUCAGCGGUUAAAUCGUGGGGCUCAACCCCAUUCUGCCGUUGAUACUGGGUGGCUUGAUUGCGGUCGAGGUUGGCGGAAUUCGUUCUGUAGCGGUGAAAUGCAUAGAUAUGACGAAGAACACCGAUUGCGUAGGCAGCUGACCAGACCGCAAAUGACGCUCAUGCACGAAAGUGCGGGGAUCGAACAGGAUUAGAUACCCUGGUAGUCCGCACAGUAAACGAUGAAUACUUGUUUUCGGCGAUAUAAUGUCGGAGGCAAAGCGAAAGCGAUAAGUGUUCCACCUGGGGAGUACGCCGGCAACGGUGAAACUCAAAUGAAUUGACGGGG